rnacentral:rRNA from 1 species
AUUCCGAACUCGGAAGUUAAGCCCUUCAGUGCCGAUGGUACUGCGGGGGUAACUCCGUGGGAGAGUAGGUCGUUGCCGGGU